AACGUAGGUUCCGAGCGUUAUCCGGAUUUACUGGGCGUAAAGCGCGUUCAGGCGGUUCGGCAAGUCGGGCCUGAAAUCUCUCGGCUCAACCGGGAGAGGUUGUCCGAUACUGUUGGACUUGAGGGCAGUAGAGGGUGGUGGAAUUCCGGGUGUAGUGGUGAAAUGCGUAGAUAUCCGGAGGAACACCAGUGGCGAAAGCGGCCACCUGGACUGUACCUGACGCUCAAACGCGAAAGCUAGGGGAGCGAACGGG
rnacentral:rRNA from 1 species